ACCAGGUGUGGGCUGGGCUUUUAUAAAGCCCGGAAGCUGGAACUAGAAAGGCCUGCAGUCAUCCUCUGUGCAUUACAGAAGGAAGGAGGGAACCCAGGAGAAGGGCAGAACCCCGCAGGUCCAAUGGGGUGAGGAGUCUCAGAAGGGGAACACACACAGUGACCUGGCUGGAGGGCCAAGUCAUGAAAAGGAAGCCACAGCUGCUGGAGCGAGAGAAGGGCCACAAAGUGAGAGGCCAGCAUGUUGAGAGACAGCGAAUAGAGGCACCAGACCUAGAAGAGAGCUAUUCCCCAGAGCAGUCAGGCGGAGGCACCCCAGUGGACUGCGUGGAUGUGCCAAGACUUGCUUUGAAUGUAUUUCCUGCUCUAUCUGGAAGGGAAGAACAGAGAAUCUAGUGAGAGCCUCUUCUGAUGAGAUGUCCACAGCAAUUUAAAUAAGUUCAGAAGAUCUGGAUACAUGAUAUGUUCUAGAUCAUAUUCAAAACCAUGGUCCUGACCACUUGUUGGUAUUGAUGGAAGGAGGGUGUCUCGGCCCAAUUCCCACUGACAUUUACCAUUCAAAUUUUAUGCAGGGAAAACAUAGGAUCUGGCCCAUUGCAGCUACUGUGAACAAAUAGGCAGGGCCUGGGGUUCUCAGAUGGUAUAUAACACCAUAGCCCUACUUCAAUUGAGUUAUGCUGAUUGACACCAGCUGAGGAGAUGACCACUGCUUCUUUAGUCCACAAAUAUUAAAAGAGAUUAGAAAAAGACCAACAUACCCUGAAAUUGUUCCACAGUAACAUCUCCAGUAUAACCAGCUAUCAACAGCCUGAUCUUCAAUGAACAAAUUACAAUUUUGAUUAGCUUUUACAAACAUUCAUCUUUUGCUGCCUAAUUCAGGCUGCAAAACCCUUUCAACUAAAUGACUUGCUGUUGUACAGUGUACCAUUAGCGUAUAAAAACCUGCUGCUGUAAGCAUCCAUUACCACAAAGCUGCUAGUGACAUAUUGAUUUUCAAGCUGCAGCUGAUCCCCCUUGAGACUACAGAGCAUAUGGCUGUUUGUUAGACCUGCUGGGUAAAACAUGUUGAUGACAAAAGAAAAAAUGAAGUCCUUUAUUGUCGGUGUGACUUCUUGUUUCAUUAUUUAAAAAAAAUAUAUUAAUUGUAUUUAGACUGAGCUCUCUUAAGUACAGGUUCUUGGUCUUUCUCUGUAUUUCAGCAGUAGUUGGUAAUGCUCUAGUACUAUGGCUCUAAUAAUUAAACACAUUAGAAUUUUGAACCAAAGCUAGGUAUUGGAAGACCGUAUUAGGCAGUAUCUCUUUUUACAAACUUGAAUUCAGACUAUAGUAAAAGACGUGCCUUCAAUGGGUUUUGGAUCAGGCUUCGAGAAAAGAACACCUGUAAAAGAAAUUUCUUGUUUACCCCAUUGAGUUCCUUCCAAUAUGUCUAUAUAUUGGUGUAUCAUAACGUCCAUAUUUAGCACAAAAUCAGAUUCAUUUACACUUUUGAAUAUUAACAUGUACAAUUAAUUUUUAAAACCUAGAUGUAGGUGACAAGACCUCAGCAGAGGUGCUCAAUAGGGACGUGCUUUUUUUUUGCUUUCUGUAUCUAGUCAUCGAAUACUUGCAUAAACUCCAGUCUACAUUGAGCAGCAGAUCCGUCUGCACUGAGCAGAAUGCUUAAAUGUAUGACGCAAAUCUCAAAUUCAGAGUUAGCAGAAUGAUGACCCUUAAAUAGUGCAGCCUAAAUGUAAACCCCCAUUUCUUAUACUUUAUUUCAUGAUGUUCAGCCAAUAACACUUUUAUUGCUGUAUUUACAGCUGCUGUUUCUACAUGCUCUGAGUUGGUAUGGAAACAUUCUGGACAUGGUG